CUUUGGUUCAGCAACAGCGAACAGCAAGAAAAUAGUACACUGAUGAAGAAAAGGAAAUCUCACAAGUUUCAGGAUUUAGCUCAUGAGUUUGGUUCAGUUGAACAGCCACACUCUUUGGAUGAGGAUUAGCCUGACUUAACUGAUGAGAUGUUGGCAGCCUCUGAGAGGAAGAUCCGUAGGCUGAAGAAGACUGUGGGCUCAAUUUCCUACAGAGGAAGAAUGUUGGAUGAAGCAUGGAAGCAGAAAUUCUGCAUGGAGCCUGUAUUGAUUUCAGUACUGCAGAAUCAGGAGCUAAGGCUGUCAUGGCUUCCGAACAGCACAGCAACCCAACGGCCCCUCCAACUGAUGCCUCGGAUCAUCUUCAGCCACUGGUGCCCAAGUCAGAAAAAAACUAAUGAGCUGAAAGAAGCAGCAAAGAAUUAUACUGAUUAUUUCUUCAUUGUGCUGCUCUUGGAGCUGUAUUAAAUACAAACAGAAGACAAUAUUGCCUCGGGAGCUUGCAGUCGGAAGUAUUAACCUUGGAGUAAAGGCUGUUUUCAAUUGUUUGGGAAGGUUAAAUUUUGGUUUAAUUCUGUCCCUGUUGAAAUCCCAGGUAAAUGAAGAGCAUUUUGGUUUUGCUGUUUCCUCUACUUUAUCUCUGCCUAGGAUACGUGCAGGCAAGAAAGUGGUUCUUGCCCUGGCCUGGCAUUAUACACACGGUCAAUAAAAUUAGAUUGCCUUUUGUGGAAAGACUGAGACCUCAGAAAGUAUUUUUCAUAUUAGCAGUGAAAAAUAAGUACAACUUUCUAAAUGUUACAUGAUGUUUAGGUUGAAUUACAUGUUUGCAGGAUUUCAUGCUUCAAUACGAAAUGGGACAUGCACUGAGAAACCUAGCUAUCUGUGUUUUAUUGAGUUAAUUUCAAAGAUUGGAAGAACCCCUGUUCUCAAAGUUGGCAAACUCUUAGUUCUGGCCACCUAGAGGUAAAUUUGAGAACUAAUGCCAAAGAAAAAGCCUCAUGUGUUUCCUUCCCAAAUGCUCUCUUACUCAAAGUUUCUUUGAACUGAAUGAACUUUUUCUUUAUUCUUUGGCACACUGUUCUGCCUCAUACCGCCAAUGGCAUUGUAUGUCAGGGGUAUAAACUCCAGUCCACUGUCAGUGUACCCACAACACGGGGGCCAGCUGAAGGCCAAUGAUGGAUCUGAGCACGCUUUGUGCAAAGAUGUCCCUACC